rnacentral:misc_RNA from 1 species
UUAAAGUUUAUGCAUUCAAGCUUUCCUCACAUGGCUUAGCGUCUUGAAUUCAACUUCAUCAAAUUGCAUCUUUCUUGUGAUUCAGAAUUUUAUUACAUCUGCACUGUACAAAUUAUAUAAUAAAGAAAUAAAAAAAAAUGCACAAAAAGAGUGAUGCCAUACAGUUCAAACUUAGUUUUUUCAAGUGUUGCCUAAAACUCAAGUGCAUCAACACACAUCUUUUAGUUUAAAUUCAAGAUUCAUCCAUCCUCUCAUAUUACCAACAUAUGUAUGCCUCCUUUCCAGACAAUUAACACCUAAUUGGGAAUUCAAUCACUAUAAAAGCAUGAUUCAACAGCUAUUUCAGAUUUCUCAGGAUUAACAAAGUGAGAAAAAGUCCAUUACAAUUUGAAAUUCAGGAUCGUCAUUUAAUCACAUAGUGGCCAAACAAAAAUCUUGAGUUGAAAAGUUUGUGUAACACCCCUAAUUUUUGAAUUUAUUAUUUUGUGA